rnacentral:rRNA from 1 species
AGUAUGAGCAGAGUUGUUCUGUGACUGCGUACCUUUUGUAUAAUGGGUCAGCGAAUUAUAUUUUGUAGCGAGGUUAACCGAUUAGGGUAGCCGUAGGGAAACCGAGUCUUAACUGGGCGAAUAGUUGCAAGGUAUAGACCCGAAACCCGGUGAUCUAGCCAUGGGCAGGUUGAAGAUUGAGUAACAUCAAUUGGAGGACCGAACCCACUAACGUUGAAAAGUUAGGGGAUGACCUGUGGUUAGGAGUGAAAGGCUAAUCAAACCGGGAGAUAGCUGGUUCUCCCCGAAAUCUAUUUAGGUAGAGCCUCGGACGAAUACUUACGGGGGUAGCGCCCUGUUAAGGCUAGGGGGUCAUCCC